CAAAAUCAGGGGGAAAGAAGACCCUGUUGAGCUUGACGCUAGUCUGACUCUGUGAAGACACAUUGAAGGUGUAGCACAGGUGGGAGGCACGUGGCCGCUUGCGGUGCCGCGCCGACAGUGAAAUACAGUGAAACCUCCAUAAUCCGUACCUCCGUAAUCCGAACCCUCUAUUAUCCGAAUCCGCCGCGGAGAACAACAGACCGACAUUAUGCACUAAGCAUGCUUAGGCGACCUCAUCGCCGCCCGCUGUAAUAACUUGUCUCCUUUCUUCUGGUCGUUUUUGUUGGAUGUGAUGCCCGAGGAGGAACAACAUGCCGAGGAAGAUGAAGGGGAGCACAGCGCGGUUCCAACACACAACGGAGCAUUUGUUCCACUGGAGGCUGCGUUGCUGUGGUUCGAAGAUCAGGACGAAUGCGAUAAAAGACGACUUUUUGUGCUUAAAAAGGCAUCCGUGACUUAGCCGCUAGCAAACGUAAAAGCGUACUCAAGCAUACGCUGAUAACUGACCACCUACAAUAAAUCUUCCUUUCGCGGACUUCUAUUCCUUCGGAGGAAAGACGUGUGGGCACCUGCGGAUGAUCCAGGGAACAAAGUCUACAAUAAGUUAAGAAUCGCGCAAUGAUAAACUGUUAAUUCAAUUUUUCUCGGGAGGUGGAGCGAGCUGGCAACAGCGAGUCCGAAAAAGUAAACUCGCGGGACUGUUUCCCCUGCCGCUUCGUCAUACAGUUUCUGCGCGACAAAGAAAACUGUUUUCUCCUAGCCACAGACUUUCGUUCGUCAAAUAGUCACCCCCAUAAGCUAAAGCGGUUACAUUUAACAUGUUGUUACCUCCUGCAUUCACAUCCAGUACCUGUAAGCUCCCUCCAUAAUCCGAAUUCCUCUAUUUUCCGAACCACCACGGGGCCCGUUGAUGUUCGGAUUAUGGAGUUUUGACUGUACCACUACUUUGAUCGUUUAUUUACUUAUUCCGUCAAGCGGAAGAAACGGUCACUCGCGUGGCCGUCCCACGGCGCGCGACGACUGCCACUUUUCCUGCAAAGCCCACGGGACGCCUCCCCGCAGUCGGCGGCAGCUCGAGCACCCGUAGCAACGCGAGGUGCCGUCCAGGGCGAUCCGCUCCGAAGACACUGUCAGGUGCGGAGUGUGACUGGGCGGUACAUCUGUUAAACGGUAACGCAGGUGUACCAAGGUGAGCUCAGCGAGGACAGAAACGUCGCCUGGAGUAAACGGGCAAAGGCUCACUUGAUUUUGAUUUCCAGUACGAAUAGAGAGCUCGAAACCGUGGCCUAUCGAUCCUUUUGAUUUUGCAGAUUUCAUGUAAGAGCUGUCAGAAAAGUUACCACAGGGAUAACUGGGUUCUGGCAGCCAAGCGCCCAUAGCGACGUUGCUUUCUGAACCUUCGAUGACGGCCCUUCCUACCAUUGCGAAGCACAAUUCGCCAAGCUUUGGAUUGUUCACCCACAAAUAGGGAACGUGAGCUGGGUUUAAACCGUCGUGAGACAGGUUAGUUUUACCCUACUGAUCACUGACCGUUGCCAUACUAAUCCUGCUCAGUACGGGAGAAACCGUAGGAUCAGACAUUUGGUUCAUGAGCUUGGCUGAAAGGCCAGUGGCGCGAACCUACCAUCUGAAAGAUAGUGACUGAACGCCUCUAAGUCAGAAUCUUGCCUAUCGACUGGCGACGAUACGUUGCGUCCGACUUCUUGCAAAGUUGACGGUAGACCGGCAGUGGCCUUGCGCGGUCGACCGGUCUCCACUUGAAGCCGUGCUGCCACUUGUUGACGGCAGCGCCACCGCCAGCAUGAACGACAUGCUGCGACGGCGGCGAAACCACUGAUCACCCAACGGCUGAAACAGCAGUCGAACACCAGAGCUCCCCGUAGACGACGGACACACCGGUUGAGGUGUUCUGAUUACUAGAGCAGUCCGAAGACUGCGAUUUGUUGAGACUUUGCCUUUCAUUGGACUGCUC
rfam:Trichuris suis scaffold106.9, whole genome shotgun sequence.